rnacentral:rRNA from 1 species
AGAGUUUGAUCCUGGCUCAGAACGAACGCUGGCGGCAGGCCUAACACAUGCAAGUCGAACGAUACCUUCGGGUAUAGUGGCGCACGGGUGAGUAACACGUGGGAAUAUACCUUUCGCUGGGGGAUAACAUCGGGAAACUGAUGCUAAUACCGCAUACGCCCUUUGGGGGAAAGAUUUAUCGGCGAAAGAUUAGCCCGCGUCCGAUUAGCUAGUUGGUGAGGUAAUGGCUCACCAAGGCUACGAUCGGUAGCUGGUCUGAGAGGAUGACCAGCCACACUGGGACUGAGACACGGCCCAGACUCCUACGGGAGGCAGCAGUGGGGAAUUUUGGACAAUGGGCGAAAGCCUGAUCCAGCCAUGCCGCGUGCAGGAUGAAGGCCUUCGGGUUGUAAACUGCUUUUGUACGGAACGAAAAAGUUCUCUCUAAUACAGGGGGCGAAUGACGGUACCGUAAGAAUAAGCACCGGCUAACUACGUGCCAGCAGCCGCGGUAAUACGUAGGGUGCAAGCGUUAAUCGGAAUUACUGGGCGUAAAGCGUGCGCAGGCGGGUAUAUAAGACAGAUGUGAAAUCCCCGGGCUCAACCUGGGAACUGCAUUAGUGACUGUAUAGCUAGAGUGCGGCAGAGGGGGAUGGAAUUNCGCGUGUAGCAGUGAAAUGCGUAGAUAUGCGGAGGAACACCGAUGGCGAAAGCAAUCCCUGGGCCUGCACUGACGCUCAUGCACGAAAGCGUGGGGAGCAAACAGGAUUAGAUCCCUGGUAGUNCCCGCCCUAACGAUGCCAACUAA